ACGGGAGGCAGCAGUGAGGAAUAUUGGUCAAUGGGCGGAGGCCUGAACCAGCCAAGUCGCGUGAAGGAUGAAGGUAUUAUGUAUUGUAAACUUCUUUAGACGCAGAGAAAUAAGAGGGUCGUGACCCUUGAUGCUAGUAUGCGUAGAAUAAGGAUCGGCUAACUCCGUGCCAGCAGCCGCGGUAAUACGGAGGAUCCGAGCGUUAUCCGGAUUUAUUGGGUUUAAAGGGUGCGCAGGCGGUCUUUUAAGUCAGUGGUCAAAGCGUGGAGCUUAACUCCAUCCCGCCAUUGAUACUGGAGGACUUGAUUGCGGUCGAGGUUGGCGGAAUUCGCCGUGUAGCGGCGAAAUGCAUAGAUAUGGCGAAGAACUCCGAUUGCGUAGGCAGCUGACCAGGCCGUAAAUGACGCUCGUGCACGAAAGUGCGGGGAUCGAACAGGAUUAGAUACCCUGGUA
rnacentral:rRNA from 1 species